ensembl:lncRNA
AUUGAAUUGAACUCAGGUCCUCUGGAAGAACAGUCAGUGCUCUUAACCUCUGAGCCAUCUCUCCAGCCCCUGCUUGGAUACUCUUAUCCAGAGGUCUGUGCUUCUAUUAGCAAACCUCUCCUGGAGGAGACAGAGAGUGUGAUCAGCAGACGACUAGGAGAUCACCGACUGCUGACCUGGGAGACGUCCCAGAGGUCUGGGGGAACCGAGGUUUCUGUCUGGGUGCUGGUGAGGGUACGGUGGUUCUCCUGGAUUGGGGAGUUACACACCCUCCCGGCUGUCUGUAUUUCUGGAGUGGUUUUGUCUGUCUAGGUGGAGACAGACAUCUGUUAGUUUUUGUCUCUGUGUCUUGGGUCUUUUUUGUGACUUUGACGAUGGGACCGACUGUAACUACCCCCCUCAGUCUGACUUUUGACUUUUGACCACUGGACAGACGUUAAGGACCAUAUUCAGUCAGAUAAAGUUACGACGCCCCCUUUCGCUGAGUCACGUGGUGCCACACUAGGUAACUUUCUUUCUUCUGUCUUUGUUUCUGUAUGGCUUCUGUGAAGUCUGGAGGAUUGGAACAGGCUGUGUGAUUGGCUAGUUAAGCGGGUUUGUUAUCUGAUCUGUUGCAAUCCACACCCUACCCGCCUGCUUUUCGAUGCUGUGUCAGUUUUGUGUUUUCAUGUCUACUGUUUUUGUUAAUUGUGUAAGCGUCUCUCUCUGUCCUUACUGCCCAUGCAUGUGGCAUGCUUGGGUCAGGGGUCUUUUCUUGCUGCCCUGAGCACAUGGCAUGCGGGACAGGAGUUCCUCUGCCAUGUGCCAUGGGUUAGAGUGUGCCUCGGAGGGGUCCCCUGUCACCGAGCACAUGGUGAGGCUGCUGUUCUGAACUCCAACCACUGCUGCGGCCCUCACAGCUGAGCCUGGCCGGUGCAGACUGCCAGAUCCUGACAGUGACCCAAAGUCUCUAAAGAUUAUGAGGCACCCCAGUUCCUGCACCUGGAUGAUGACACUGACCAGUGAGCGAGAUGCUCAAAUGUGACACCUACUGCCUGCCAGGACCUUGCCAAGACAGUGGACAAAGCUGCUGGACACUGGAAAAUUGAUUGCACCCCUUUGCCUAGACAAAACAAGACACAUCUGAGUAUCAGUUGCUGACUACAGGCUGUUCCUAAGUAGACUGCGAGCCCUGGAUGUGCUGUGGAUGUGAACCAGUCCAGCUGAUAUGGACAGCCGCUGUCUCUGCAACAGAGUCUGCCAACCAGAAGCUCCUGAUGGAUUCCCCAUUGCCUGAAUUCCCUUUUUGCUUUUGACUAGCAUUUCAGCCUUCUUGGGUCCCUAACUUCGUCUCAAAGUCAGCAGGAAGUAGAAUGGGAAAGAAUACGUUGCCCAUUUUCCCUGGUUGAAAUGCUAAGUCAAAAUAAACUCUGUUACAAUAAAUCUUUCCGCCAAAAGCUGCCCGAACCCUACAGCCACGUGGAUGGUCUCCACCAGCCACCUGAGUUCUGCCCGCCGAGUUAGGGCCCAAUUAAUGCACAGAGACUUAUAUUAGGUACAAAUGCUGCUUGGCCAAUGACGAGGAUGCUCAUCUGUUAGCUCAGUCUUAAUUAUCAUAAAAUCUAUGUAUUUUAUAAGACUUAUCAGACACCUUCCAUUGGCGUCCUCUCUUGCUGGUGGAUCAUAUCGUGAAUCUGGAGGAAGAGAAGAGGGGGAAGAGGACUACUUCCUGCUUGUCCUUCCUUAAAUAUGAGUCUUCCUGCUAUGUCACUUCCUGCCUGGAUCACCACUUCUUUACUACAUUUCCCAGAAUCCUCCCACCUAACGUGCUGCCACAUUGGCAAACAGUACUUUAUUGAACAAUCAAUAAGAUGAACAUACACAGAAGCACAUUCCCCCUCAAAACUCCUUUACAUAGGGGGUGCCAAUUAUCUCUCACUUCCUGAUAAGGACACUGGAGAGACAGCAAUUCCAUGACUGGAAUCUCCACAAAAGAAAAUGGGGGAAUGAAGGGACCAGCUCCCCAUUUCAGCAGCUAUAACAGCCUACCACGUGCUUGCCUGACCUUGCCUUGGUCACUAGGAGGUCAGAUGCCUGCCUUGUGGCAAGGAACCAAUUGGAAGUUAGCUGGUAGUGCUAUGCUUUAUGGCUCUGGGUGUGCUUUAUGGACAAGUGCACAGCAAUGACGUGCAGAGCAUAGCAACCGCCCUGGGAUGGCCUAUGGGCCAUAGCAACCAGUUGACCAAUCAACACAGGGCAAGUUCUCCAGGCCUGGAGGCACACCAAUCCUGAGCCUGUGCAUACUCCUAGACACUCCCCUUACACUGCCCUAUAAGAUCUUUAUGCCAUGGCGUCUCGGCAUCUUUCCC